rnacentral:rRNA from 1 species
CCCUUAGACGUUCUGGGCCGCACGCGCGCUACACUGACCAGUGCAACAAGCAUCCGUCCUUGGCCGACAGGCCCGGGCAAUCUUUGAACGCUGGUCGUGAUGGGGAUAGACUUUUGCAAUUUUUGGUCUUCAACGAGGAAUUCCUAGUAAACGCAAGUCAUCAACUUGCAUUGAUUACGUCCCUGCCCUUUGUACACACCGCCCGUCGCACCUACCGAUUGAAUGGUCCGGUGAAAUCUCGGGACGGCGGCUUGGUCGCUUGCGUCCGACUGCUGAAACUUGAUUAAACCAUAUCAUUUAGAGGAAGGUGAANUCGUAACA